GAUGAACGCUGGCGGCGUGCCUAAUACAUGCAAGUCGAGCGAACGGACGAGAAGCUUUCUUCUCUGAUGUUAGCGGCGGACGGGUGAGUAACACGUGGAUAACCUCCCUAUAAGACUGUGAUAACUUCGGGAAACCGGAGCUAAUACCGGAUGAUAUUUUGAACCGGAUGGUUCAAAAGUGAAAGACGGUCUUGCUGUCACUUAUAGAUGGAUCCGCGCUGCAUUAGCUAGUUGGUAAGGUAACGGCUUACCAAGGCAACGAUGCAUAGCCGACCUGAGAGGGUGAUCGGCCACACUGGAACUGAGACACGGUCCAGACUCCUACGGGAGGCAGCAGUAGGGAAUCUUCCGCAAUGGGCGAAAGCCUGACGGAGCAACGCCGCGUGAGUGAUGAAGGUCUUCGGAUCGUAAAACUCUGUUAUUAGGGAAGAACAUAUGUGUAAGUAACUGUGCACAUCUUGACGGUACCUAAACAGAAAGCCACGGCUAACUACGUG
rnacentral:rRNA from 1 species